rnacentral:rRNA from 1 species
GAUGAACGCUGGCGGCGUGCCUAAUACAUGCAAGUCGAGCGAACGGACGAGAAGCUUGCUUCUCUGAUGUUAGCGGCGGACGGGUGAGUAACACGUGGAUAACCUACCUAUAUGACUGGGAUAACUUCGGGAAACCGGAGCUAAUACCGGAUGAUAUUUUGAACCGCAUGGUUCAAAAGUGAAAGACGGUCUUGCUGUCACUUAUAGAUGGAUCCGCGCUGCAUUAGCUAGUUGGUAAGGUAACGGCUUACCAAGGCAACGAUGCAUAGCCGACCUGAGAGGGUGAUCGGCCACACUGGAACUGAGACACGGUCCAGACUCCUACGGGAGGCAGCAGUAGGGAAUCUUCCGCAAUGGGCGAAAGCCUGACGGAGCAACGCCGCGUGAGUGAUGAAGGUCUUCGGAUCGUAAAACUCUGUUAUUAGGGAAGAACAUAUGUGUAAGUAACUGUGCACAUCUUGACGGUACCUAAUCAGAAAGCCACGGCUAACUACGUG